rnacentral:lncRNA from 1 species
CACGUGACCCUGAUUAUUAUUGAAACGAGAACGAGGGCGUCGUGCCUUUAUAAGACUGCGUUAAUGUUUCCGUGGAGUUAUCCCUUCCCUUGUUGUUUAUUGAUUGUUAAACAUGGCGUCAUUUGCAAAGGUGGUUGUGUGUGUCCUCAUUGCUUGUGUCUGUAAUGCAUUCUGUUUUCCGAAGAGAGAUGUGAACUUUAAGGCCUCUGCAGUUGACCGCCAAAGUGAUGAUGUGGUUGUCGCCACAACACCCGUUCCCCACAACCAGACCACAUCUGCCCAUACUGAAGCUGGUGGUGGUGCAAGUGAAGAUGCUGUGGCUACUACCCCAGCACCUAAUCCACACAACCAGACAACUUCUGAAGUUACUGGUAGGGUUUCUCUUUAGUUUUUGUGUGGUUCUCUGCAAGUUUGUUUUUUGUAUAAAAUGUGUAAGUGUGUCCUUUGGCUUCUCUUUGGCCCCCUCACUCAUGUGGAAUCCCAAGAUGGAGCCAGUGAAGAUGCUGUGGACCGCCAAAGUGAUGAUGUGGUUGUCGCCACAACACCCGAUCCCCACAACCAGACCACAUCUGCCCAUACUGAAGCUGGUGGUGGUGCAAGUGAAGAUGCUGUGGCUACUACCCCAGCACCUAAUCCACACAACCAGACAACUUCUGAAGUUACUGGUAGGGUUUCUCUUUAGUUUUUGUGUGGUUUUCUGCAAGUUUGGUUUUUGUAUAAAAUGUGUAAGUGUGUCCUUUGGCUUCUCUUUGGCCCCCUCACUCAUGUGGAAUCCCAAGAUGGAGCCAGUGAAGAUGCUGUGGACCGCCAAAGUGAUGAUGUGGUUGUCGCCACAACACCCGAUCCCCACAACCAGACCACAUCUGCCCAUACUGAAGCUGGUGGUGGUGCAAGUGAAGAUGCUGUGGCUACUACCCCAGCACCUAAUCCACACAACCAGACAACUUCUGAAGUUACUGAUGGAGCCAGUGAAGAUGCUGUGGACCGCCAAAGUGAUGAUGUGGUUGUCGCCACAACACCCGAUCCCCACAACCAGACCACAUCUGCCCAUACUGAAGCUGGUGAUGGAGCAAGUGAAGAUGCUGUGGCUACCACCCCAGCACCAAAUCCCCCAACUACAUCUGACCACACUGCAGCUACCGAUGAUGCAAGUGAGGGUGCUGUGGAUGCCCAAACUGGAACUACUGUAUCCCAUACGACUGAAGUCUGAUUCGACUGCUCCUCUGGUCACAAUGACCUGAGACACUGUCUGGACUUUUUGCCUCUACAUGUUGACUGCAAUAAAGGACAGAUUUGUUUUUUUAAUCA